GAUGAACGCUGGCGGCGUGCCUAAUACAUGCAAGUCGAACGCACAGCGAAAGGUGCUUGCACCUUUCAAGUGAGUGGCGAACGGGUGAGUAACACGUGGACAACCUGCCUCAAGGCUGGGGAUAACAUUUGGAAACAGAUGCUAAUACCGAAUAAAACUUAGUGUCGCAUGACACAAAGUUAAAAGGCGCUUUGGCGUCACCUAGAGAUGGAACCGCGGUGCAUUAGUUAGCUGGUGGGGUAAAGGCCUACCAAGACAAUGAUGCAUAGCCGAGUUGAGAGACUGAUCGGCCACAUUGGGACUGAGACACGGCCCAAACUCCUACGGGAGGCUGCAGUAGGGAAUCUUCCACAAUGGGCGAAAGCCUGAUGGAGCAACGCCGCGUGUGUGAUGAAGGCUUUCGGGUCGUAAAGCACUGUUGUAUGGGAAGAACAGCUAGAAUAGGGAAUGAUUUUAGUUUGACGGUACCAUACCAGAAAGGGACGGCUAAAUACGUGCCAGCCGCCGCUGUAA
rnacentral:rRNA from 1 species